rnacentral:rRNA from 1 species
UACGGAAGGCAGCAGGGGGAAUAUUGGACAAUGGGCGAAAGCCUGAUCCAGCCAUGCCGCAUGAGUGAAGAAGGCCUUCGGGUUGUAAAGCUCUUUUAGUGAGAAAGAUAAUGACGGUACUCACAGAAGAAGUCCUGGCUAACUCCGUGCCAGCAGCCGCGGUAAUACGGAGAGGGCUAGCGUUAUUCGGAAUUAUUGGGCGUAAAGAGCGCGUAGGCUGAUUAGUAAAGUUAAAAGUGAAAUCCCAAAGCUUAAACUUUGGAAUUGCUUUUUAAAAACUGCUAGUCUAGAGAUUGAAAGAGGAUAGAGGAAUUCCUAGUGUAGAGGUGAAAUUCGUAAAUAUUAGGAGGAACACCAGUGGCGAAGGCGUCUAUCUGGUUCAAAUCUGACGCUGAGGCGCGAAAGGGCGUGGGGAAGCAAAACAGGGAUUAGAUACC